rnacentral:rRNA from 1 species
AGGACGAACGCUGGCGGCGUGCUUAACACAUGCAAGUCGAACGGAAAGGCCCGCUUGCGGGUACUCGAGUGGCGAACGGGUGAGUAACACGUGGGCAACCUGCCCUCAGCUUCGGGAUAACACUUGGAAACAGGUGCUAAUACCGGAUAAUAACCUUUCAUCGCAUGGUGGUUGGUUCAAAGUUUUUCGGCUGAGGAUGGGCCCGCGGCCUAUCAGCUUGUUGGUGGGUAAUGGCCUACCAAGGCGACGACGGGUA